rnacentral:rRNA from 1 species
GACGAACGCUGGCGGCGUGCUUAACACAUGCAAGUCGAACGGAAAGGCCCUGCUUUUGUGGGGUGCUCGAGUGGCGAACGGGUGAGUAACACGUGAGUAACCUGCCCUUGACUUUGGGAUAACUUCAGGAAACUGGGGCUAAUACCGGAUAGGAGCUCCUGCUGCAUGGUGGGGGUUGGAAAGUUUCGGCGGUUGGGGAUGGACUCGCGGCUUAUCAGCUUGUUGGUGGGGUAGUGGCUUACCAAGGCUUUGACGGGUAGCCGGCCUGAGAGGGUGACCGGGGACGAGGGUAAGGAGAGAGGGACCAGUGUGGAAGGGGAGGCAGCAGGGGGAAAGAUGGCGCAGGGGGGGGACGGGUGGGGGAGAGGCGCCGGGUGUGGGAAGACGGUGGGGGGGGGGGAAAGGGAAGUAGACGGGAACGAAGCGGGAGUGACGGUAAAGGGGAAAGAAGCAACGGAUAACUACGGG